AGCGAACGCUGGCGGCGUGCCUAACACAUGCAAGUCGAACGUGAACAGGGGCAACCCUUAGUAAAGUGGCGUACGGGUGAGUAACACGUAGGUAAUCUACCCUAGAGUCUGGAAUAACUCGCCGAAAGGCGUGCUAAUACCGGAUGAUGUCGUAAGACCAAAGAUUUAUCGCCCAGGGAUGAGCCCGCGUAAGAUUAGGUAGUUGGUGAGGUAAAGGCUCACCAAGCCGACGAUCUUUAGCUGGUCUGAGAGGAUGAUCAGCCACACUGGGGCUGAGACACGGCCCAG
rnacentral:rRNA from 1 species